GAUGAACGCUAGCGGCAGGCUUAAUACAUGCAAGUCGUGGGGCAGCGCAGGUAGCAAUACUGGGCGGCGACCGGCAAACGGGUGCGGAACACGUACACAACCUUCCGAGAAGUGGGGAAUAGCCCAGAGAAAUUUGGAUUAAUACCCCGUAACAUAACGAUGUGGCAUCACAUUGUUAUUAUAGCUUCGGCGCUUCUUGAUGGGUGUGCGGCUGAUUAGAUAGUUGGCGGGGUAACGGCCCACCAAGUCUACGAUCAGUAGCUGAUGUGAGAGCAUGAUCAGCCACACGGGCACUGAGACACGGGCCCGACUCCUACGGGAGCAGCAGUAAGGAAUAUUGGUCAAUGGACGCAAGUCUGAACCAGCCAUGCCGCGUGAAGGAUUAAGGUCCUCUGGAUUGUAAACUUCUUUUAUCUGGGACGAAAAAAGGCGAUUCUUCGUCACUUGACGGUACCAGAUGAAUAAGCACCGGCUAACUCCGUGCCAGCAGCCG
rnacentral:rRNA from 1 species